GUAGGUGGCAAGCGUUGUCCGGAAUUAUUGGGGCGUAAAGCGCGUGCAGGCGGUUCUUUAAGUCUGAUGUGAAAGCCCACGGGCUCAACCGUGGAGGGUCAUUGGAAACUGGAGAACUUGAGUACAGAAGAGGAAAGCGGAAUUCCACGUGUAGCGGUGAAAUGCGUAGAGAUGUGGAGGAACACCAGUGGCGAAGGCGGCUUUCUGGUCUGUAACUGACGCUGAGGCGCGAAAGCGUGGGGAGCAAACAGGAUUAGAUACCCUGGUAGUCCACGCCGUAAACGAUGAGUGCUAAGUGUUAGGGGGUUUCCGCCCCUUAGUGCUGCAGCUAACGCAUUAAGCACUCCGCCUGGGGAGUACGGCCGCAAAGGCUG
rnacentral:rRNA from 1 species